CUAGUUCGUCCCGCCGGCGCGGAGGCCAGGCCCCGUCGGCUGCUGGGGCCUCGCUUUCGGAACGGGGAAAGGUCGCGAGGGGGCGGCUCCGCGGUCGCCACGUCCACCCUUGCCCGCGCGGGGGCGCCGCCGCUGUUCUCGUGCUGGGCCCCGGGGGAGCUGCAGGGGGCGCCCGCGCAGGAGCACGCCUCGCACCGCCGCGGUUCCCCCUUGGCCCGCACGGGGUUUGCUGGGAGAGUGAGCGUGCUCUGUGGGCCGUGGGUUUGAGAGGCGCCCCCGACGUGACUGAUUUAACCAGCAGGGGCCGGGCUGAGGCAGCCGUGGCUGCAGGUUAAGCACAGCCACGGCGCGCGUGCCCGGUGCUGUCACCCGCUGUACUUCCCGUUCGCGCAGCCAGAGCAGCGGCCCGGGCGCGCGGAGGCGCGGCUGGCGGAGGCGGUGUCCGCGCCAGAUGACGCCGGCAGGGUUUCUCUUCACGCAGGGACACAUCCCUUGGUGUCCCCUUGGUGCUGAGAAAGCCAAAAUGUGUACGCCAGAGGCUGUGAAGUGGAAAGGACGCCGCGCAGGCGUGAAGACCAAACCAGCUCUGUGGCCCCGGGGAGAAAAAAGGAAUAUUUGGGGCUGAGUCUUGGAGGAGUGGGGACUGGCCAGUGCAGGAAAGUCCGGGCCAAGAGAACAGCGCGUACCAACGCCACAACAGGGUGAAACCAGCCUCACGACAAGUACUUGUGAUAUAUCCUCGUGGUUGGAAGUGUGGGUCACAAGUUAUUAUGGAAAUGCUCGCUGACAAAACAGCCCUUGGUGUGAGUCACUCGGGUGGUUUAACUAGAGGCCAGGAACCCUCCUGGGAAUGGUUUGGAGGAUAAAGUUUCAGUGAACUCAUUCUGGAGUUAAAAGACACCAGCUAGUUCAAUCCUACAAAGUUUACAAGAACUGGGAUUUUCCAAAUAGAACAAUACAACGACACCACUUCUCUCCCAAGGUCAGCAGGGUUUGGCCUCAUUUCAUCUUAAGAGCUUGUUCCCUCUGUUCUCCAAUGUUUGACAGAGGCAGAAAAUCAAGCUAAGUCUAAAGCCACAAUGCAGCUAAAAAAGAAUGAUCAACUUCCUAAAAGACUUUGUUGAUUAUGUUUUCCUAUCAUGUACCUUCACAGGGAAAAGAAAAAUCAACACAGUAUAAAUAUUAAUUCUGGACACACAGUAUUCUUGUGGCCAACAGAGUAGCUUAAUUAAACCACUGCCUUGAAUAGUUUGUGCUGAAUACUUGCCUGAGCCUUUUGUUGUCUUGGUGUAUUUGAAAAAGAGAUGCUUUUAAAUGGAGUUGCAGUGUUUUCAGAUACUCCUACUCUGACCACAAUACUGUAUUUCAGGUCCCCCAUUAAUUUGAGGAAAAAUUGCAGUAUGUAUUUUAAAACACUUCCUCUCCGUCAUUAGUUUUUUAAGGAUCUGCCAAAUUUCCUAUCACCAAAACAAACCUCUGGUUUAACCUAUCAACUCUUAAGUUUCUACACUCUCAAGAGACCAAAGUCUCUCUUUUCUCUUUCAAUGACCCACAUUGCGGGCCAUGGAACAGGUCAUUUUGAGAGAGCAUCCUGUGCCAGUUAACCAUGACGAUAACCAGACAAUGAUGAGGUUAGCUACUACCUUUAACAAAUGAAUAUUCCUUUGUUCCAACAAUAGCAUAAUCAAAGUUUUUUAAAAAAGAUUUCUUGAUUUGUUUUGGGGAUUCAAAUGCUCAUUAGUUUCAGUAUUAGAUCUUAAAUCUCUAAAAAAAAAAGACCUGUUGAAGCUUUAGACCUUUAAGGACCUGUUUCCAAUGUACAGAUUUGUAGAUAUUUGUAGAUUUGUAGGUAUUUCUAAGCCCAAAAUUUUCAUUUCUCUUGGGACCAACAGUAACAUUUAGUGUUAAACAUAAGGCCUUGGAACAGAAUUUUUAUUUGCCGGAAAGACCUGGAGCCAACCAGUCUCAGUACAGCCAUUGCUACUCCACAUUUAUUCACAACUGCUUUACAAUUCCAGUUGCGGGAAAAGGCCCUUCAUUCUUCACUGGGGUAGAAAAUUGGACACCUUUCAAUAAAUGCCAGUCAAGAAAAGGUAUAAACAUGUCAAGUUAUUUUUAACAACUUCUAAUUUAGCCAAAGUUGUAAAGGGAUAUAAGACAAGUGGCACGCCUGAUUUGGUAAGAAUGGUACUUUACCUCUGUGGUCCCCAAAACACUUAACCCAGUUUCAUCAUGAGAAAACCUCAGACAGAUCCCAAGAGAGGGACAAUCUACAAAAUACCUUACCAGUACCCUCCUCCUCAAAACUGCCAGGCAGGUCAUCAAAAAGGAGGGAAGUCUGAGAAUCUGUUAAUAGCCAGGAGGAGUUGGAGACGUGACGACUAUGUGUAAACACGGUAUCCUGGGUAGUUCCUGGAAGAGAAAGGGACAUCUGACUAAAGAAUAGGCUUUAGUUAGUAAUAAUAAAGUUAUCGACAUUGGUUCAUUAAUUAUGACAAAUGUACCAUACUAAUGCAAGAUGUGAACUGGGGAAACUAUUCCAGUGUUUAGAGGAACUCUGUCUUUGCUAUUUUUCUGUAAAUCAUGAUCUAAUAUAACUUACUUG